rnacentral:tRNA from 1 species
GGGAGUGUAGCUCAAUGGAAGAGNGGUUGCCUAGCAUGCACAAGGUCCUGGGUUCAANAUCCCAGCACCCUA